UCUCACAAACACACCCAAGGAAGAAGGAGUUUGUGAGUUGUUUCCCGCCAGAGUGUACUCAUAUACAGAUAUUUCCUGGUGUCAAAAGUGAAAGUAAACCCCGGGUGUUGCAAUCGUGACACGUUGGCACUGAGAAAAGCUUAUUUUGGAUACCAAAAAGUGUGUGUAGUGAUCAACCAUGGUGAUCAGUUCGGCUCAGCUGCUUAACAUUAUGGAGGAUCUGGACUCAGGCGGGUUGAAGAGAUUUUAGUGGUUCCUGACUCAGGGUGUGUUGAAUGACUAUCCUCCCAUCCCAAAGAGCUUGCUGGAGAAUAGAGACAGGAUGGACACAGUGGAUAAGAUGGUGCAGAGCUACAGACUGGACGGUGCUGUGACAAUCACUCUGAAGAUCCUGGAGAAGAUGAACCAGAAUAGUCUCGCUGAGAAGUUAAAAAAAUACAUAUAGCUAGAGAGAAGAGGCUCAGUGGUUCUGCUGACCAAGCUGAUAAAUAAGGAUAAAGCUAAGGGGAGAUUCUACCUGGCCCUGUCAGAGGACCUGGAGAAGCAGACAACAUCCUGAAAGAUGUCAUGCAUACAGCAAGAUUAAAGGGGUGUUGUUCUGAAUUCAACACAAGCCAAACGAGAAUGAGCAAGAACAUCUUCAUUUGCCUUGCUGUUUCAAACAAAAUUACAUUACUGUAUACUAAUAAGAUGAUCCAGCAGGGGUUGUUACAAGGCAAACUUAAGACUAACAAUAUUGUUUGGACCCCAGGAAGUGUAGCUGCUGCCUUGGCAGCUAAUUAGGGAUCCUAAUAAAUACAAAAUUGUGUAAUGUAUGGACAGCAAGCACACAGUCGAAAUAUACAUUUAUUUUUUUGCCUUUACAUGUACAUGGCUGUUUGACAAGAUUAGGCCUAAUACUGGACUGUUGUGGGCUGUAUUGCAUGGAAAGAUAGCCCUUUUUUCUUUUUUACCAUUAGCUUGGUUUACAGUGCACUGUUCCUAAUUACAGAGUCACUUAGAAAUGUCCUUGUUUUUGAAAGAAAUACACAUUUUUAUCCAUUAAAAUAACAUAAAAUUGAUCAGAAAUAGUGUAGACAUUGUUAAUGUUGUAAAUGACUAUUGUAGCUGGAAAGGGCAGAUCUGGUCCUUCUUUGGACACUGUGUUAACAAACCUCCAAACGGGGUUCAACGCCAUACAACACUCCUUUCGUGGGCUCCAACUGCUCUUAAAUGCUAGUAAAAAUAAGUGCCUGCUCUUCAACCGAUUGCUGCCCACACCCUCAGCUUCCUAUUUCACAACAAAGCCUCCUUCACUCAUGCCGCCAAACCAUACCCUUGUAAAACUGACUAU